rnacentral:lncRNA from 1 species
UUUCCUUUUGUAAACUCUUUUAUUGUGGUGCUUGUUCCAGUCAAGGGACUUGGAACAAGGGAAAGGCGUCCCAAGCCUAAGAGAAAUUGGAGGUUUUAGGGUUUGUUGUGAGCCCGGUGUAAAACAACGAGUUGGGUAGUGAACUCGCAAAACUACCGUACUGUAAUCUUGGAUUAUAGUGGAAAUUCCCAAAGGCGCUUUGGGGAGUGGAUGUAGGAGCAGUGAAGGCUCCGAACCACUAUAAAACCGUGUGUUUGUGGUUGUCUCUUCUUAUCUCUUUAUCUUUAUUUUAGUUCAUAUAUUUGUGUGUUUUAUUUUUAAUUAGGCAAAAAAUUUUUAAAACACCCAAUUCACCCCCCUCUUGGGUGACCAUCUCUGGGCAACAAUCACCUAGCUAGAAAAUUUGUUAGAGAGAUAAAUGGUCAUUAAAAGGA